rnacentral:miRNA from 1 species
UGUGGUAUCAUUUGGCACA